rnacentral:ncRNA from 1 species
GAGAAAUUGUUGAAUAAGAGUAGUAGCAUAGGUGUGCAAUAUAAGAGAGUCAGUGGGUGGUGGAAACUGAUUUGUAGCUUAUGUGAAUGGACUUAUGAGAGUCGCUAUUUAUAAUAGCGAACGGAUUCCCACGUUAUCGGGUGUGCUUUGACUUUAUUUUUGCGGUUUACUAAAUAGCCGUUGAAUAAAGUGACAGUCGCAGAUUGAACUAUUGUACGGAAAAAUGACGGGUACAAUUUCGCUGAGGCAGUUUUUGAUGGAGCACACAAGUGAGAGCAUAUAGCUCUAAUAUGAGGUGGCAACGCGGUCAUGAUCGUCCUCUGC